rnacentral:lncRNA from 1 species
GUUGAAGUUGGGGGGUUGGAACAAUUUGCACCAGAGAGGGAUGUGAACUGCCCCGUUGCAGAGCCAGAGUCAAAGGUGUCCACCAUUGGGGGAGGGGUUCAGAUGAAGACUGGGAGGUAUGAGGAAAGGGGUUGUUGUUGUGAUGCGGGACAGGGGAGGUAGCUGACGACAGUGAACUAUAGCGAUUGAAGAACAGGUUCAGCUUGUUCGCCCACUCCAGGCUGCCUGAUUGCAACACCUCUCUCUCCCUUCCAUCCAGUGAUGUCCCUUACAUUGUUCAUCCGGAGUUUGGCCUCCAGCUUCCUCCUGUAUGUGUCCUUACAUUCUCUCAGCUUCUCCCUCAGAUCGUGCUUUACCCUCUUUAGUCCUCCUUGUUUUAUUUGGAAAACAGUGUACAGUCUUGGCCGGUAGAAUAGUGUUGUCACAGAAUUUAAUGCAUUCUGUGAAACAGUCGGUUAUGCGGUUGAUGUUCUUACCAUGUGGCUUGCAGAGUGCAUCCCACUAGGGGAACUUCAAGCAGUCCCGAAGUGCCUUGGUACCAUUCUGAGUAGGGCUGGGUAUCGUUUGGAUUUUAGGGCCAGUACCAGAUAAGCACAUUCAACUAUAAUCCAUAAACGUAAGGUAACAACCGAGACCUAAUGGUGCUGUGACACACGAUUGAGUUGACAGUGAAAAUACUGUUACGGCUGUGUGUUUGUUUUGCAUGUGUUUUUCCCCUUUUGUCUCUCCAUAGCUGCCCAGGUGAAAACACUUGAGUGACAAUCAGACUCACCUGGUGCUGGGAGUCUAAAAGCCCAGAGCUGCCUGCAGUCUGGAGAGGCAUUUGGUGGGGAGCUGCUGCCCUGCUGCCUCUCAUUUGUGUUGUGGGUGCUUUGUGUUUAGUUUGCAAUUUUGUUGUUUUUUCACAAUAAAUCACGUGUUAAACUUUUGAAGGUGUUUUGGUUAAUUUGAUGGGUAAAAAGUUGAGGAUAGUUGUUAGCCCCAUAGGGCCGCCUUCAGGUGGGGCGUAACAAAUGGGGGCUCGUCCGGGAUCGAUCAUCCAUGAGGUUCUUUGAAGUUGUUUUUUUUCCUUUCGUAACUAGUGAUCAUAGUUUGGGUUUGUUAGUCUUCUGUUUCUGUCACGAUCAUUAGUAGUUGCUUUUAUUUGUAACUUCUGAGCACCCUGAUUAUUUAGUCGCCGGGCAGGGAAGAGCUUGCCACUUUUUUAUUUUGCCUUUCUUAUUUUUGGUGGUAAUCCUGAGGAGGGGGCACACUUAGGUGAUGCCUCGAGCUCGGCAAGCCACUGAAGACUAGUUAGGUAAGUCAGACAUCUUAAGCAGGUAGGGGUUGGGGUGACUCAUUUUGCUCUGAAAUUGUUUUGUUCUAUAGUACUGUUUUUGUUUUUGUGUGUUUCAGAAGACUACCCAUUUUUGCUUGGUCACUCUGGGUGAUAACAAUUAGGAUUUUGUGUGCAGUAACUUGUGUUGUGUGACCAUUCGUUGGUGGUAACUGCUCUCCACAUUUGGUGGGUCACGUGUGAGUUGCAUCUUAGGUGUAAGGUGGCAACAGUUGUGUAGUAGUGACUACUGUGUGACCAUUUUGUGUAGUGGUUUGCAGUCCACAUUUGGUGGGUCACUUGUGUGUUACUGUUUCGUAUACCUAAUUGUAUGUUCCGUUCGUUUGGCUUGUUGCCAGCCUUCUCACAGUAACUUGUGUGUCUUUUGAAGACUUGUGUCCAUUUGUGUUGUGGUGGUGGCAGUCACCUUUUGUUGGAUCUCUGUGUGCUGUUUGUGAAUGACAGCAGUGUUGUAGUUUUACUACUUUUGUUGAUCCGUUUGUGUGUGACUGCUCACUCCACUUUAGUGUUGGACAUCUGUUACUGUGUGUGGUAUUGGCAAAUUUAGUGUUUUGCUCUUUGUGUUUGUGUUAACCUCAUGGUAGUAGCCAUUUUGCUUUGUGGGAGUGGCACCCACUUAAUUGGCUGCUUUUGUGAUGGAUGCUCUUGAAUUUGGUUGCAGCAUCUUCCUUGGCCCUAAUUUAAGAUUGUAUUCCUCACGACCCAUUUAGCACCUUUUUGUCAGCAGUGGUUGUCUUCAGUUUUGGUGAACAGUUAAGGUUUUUUUUUAAGCUUGUGCAGUGGUGUGUGUUUUGUGACAAACAGCCUUGGUGAGUAACACCCAUUUAGUUAGUUCUUGUGUUAACAUAGUUGACGCAAUGCACUUUAAUUCAAUGAAUAAAUGUUUGUAUUUGGGAUUUACGGUGUGCAAUUGUGGUGUUUAUUUUUGCAGUACAAAUGAUUUAUUCAUUGUUUUAAGGGUGGGGGUGUUACGGCUGUGUGUUUGUUUUGCAUGUGUUUUUCCCCUUUUGUCUCUCCAUAGCUGCCCAGGUGAAAUCACUUGAGUGACAAUCAGACUCACCUGGUGCUGGGAGUCUAAAAGCCCAGAGCUGCCUGCAGUCUGGAGAGGCAUUUGGUGGGGAGCUGCUGCCCUGCUGCCUCUCAUUUGUGUCGUGGGUGCUUUGUGUUUAGUUUGCAAUUUUGUUGUUUUUUCACAAUAAAUCACGUGUUAAACUUUUGAAGGUGUUUUGGUUAAUUUGAUGGGUAAAAAGUUGAGGAUAGUUGUUAGCCCCAUAGGGCCGCCUUCAGGUGGGGCGUAACAAUACAUAUAUGUUGUAUCGGAACAGGUUAGCUUACAAGCUAAAGUUACUUAGCACAGAUGAAAGUUAAAACAAAGACGUUUAGCAAACUGUUAAAGCACACAAACCAUCAUCAUAUGAGAAAUCCAAUGCUAUGACUCUCCACAAGUUGUCCUUCAGGUCGUUAUCUUUGUAAUGUUUGUGUGUUUUAUCAAAAAGCACUCUGUUCUCCAACACGUAAACACAUGGUCAGCCAUGUCAGAUAUACUGGUGAAUCUCACGGUGCAACAACAAGCACUCUGAUUGGUCAGAAGUGUACACACAGUAUGUGAAACUUGAGAAAAAUCGACCAUGAUCCGAAAAAAUAAAUGCAUCAAUAUCGCAGGACGGGAAGACGUCGCUGAUGUGAACACUAGUCAGUACCGGCGCACCCAUAACGCUUGGUACGCUCAGAGCGUAGGGCCCCACACGGCCCAUUACGUCACCGACGUUAAGGGUAAAAAAAAAAAAACUAAGAAGCGCACGCGUUCCCUGCAUAGCUUGCAGCAGCAGAGCAUCACAAGAUGAAGCGGAAUUAUCCAUCAGGGCAUGAGAAAAGAAGGAAAAGAGCUCAUGAUAAGGAAUUAAGCGAACAGCAGUCAGGUAGGCAAGGCAACGUAAUCCCUCUCUGCUUUUGGGUUACCUAUUGUACGGCGGAGUAUAAGUGCCACCAUGGACUCUAUGGUGGACUUUACUUUAUGCUGCUCGGAGCCGCUCCGCUGACGGCGCCCUUGUGUAGAUGCUGUUACUGAGGAGGAGGUGGAGCAAUUAUUUCUCAGGCUCCCAUCAUCACCAUCACUCUGCCAAUCAUAUCAAAAUCAUUUGUUCGUUUGUUGUUUGCACAUUAAAUUUGAUUUAAUUCAGUCAGAUUUUGUCUGUCUGGUCUUGGGGUGGGGGGGCUUGAUUUUAGACUUGAGACUUGAUUUUAGUUAGGAGAGCCC